rnacentral:rRNA from 1 species
UGCUGGGUGGAUCAGUGGCGAACGGGUGAGUAACACGUGAGUAACCUGCCCUUAACUCUGGGAUAAGCCUGGGAAGUCAGGUCUAAUACCGGAUAGGAGCGUCCACCGCAUGUGGGGUUUGGAAAGAUUUAUCGGGUUUGGAUGGACUCCGGGCCUAUCAGCUUGUUGGUAGGGUAAUGGGUCACCAAGGCGACGACGGGUAGCCGGCCUGAGAGGGUGACCGGCCACACUGGGACUGAGACACGGCCCAGACUCCUACGGGAGGCAGCAGUGGGGAAUAUUGCACAAUGGGCGCAAGCUUGAUGCAGCGAGCCCGCGUGAGGGAUGACGGCCUUCGGGUUGUAAACCUCUUUCAGUAGGGAAGAAGCGAAAGUGACGGUACCUGCAGAAGAAGCACCGGCUAACUACGUGCCAGCAGCCCGGGUAAUACGUAGGGUGCGAGCGUUAUCCGGAAUUAUUGGGCGUAAAGAGCUCGUAGGCGGUUUGUCGCGUCUGUCGUGAACUGACGGGGCUUAACCCGCGAUCUCGGGUGGGUACGGGCAGACUAGAGUGCA